rnacentral:lncRNA from 1 species
ACAAAACUCUAACAAAGAACGCUGUUUAUUUUUUCUUUUCUUUUCUUGAGAUAGAUAUUUUUUAUUUUAAGUUCUGGGAUACAUGUGCAGAACGUGCAGGUUUGCUACAUAGAUACACAUGUGCCAUGGUGGUUCGCUGCACCUAUCAACCCAUCAUCUAGGUUUUAAGCCCUGUUUUGAUUUGAAUAUUAUUCAAUACAAGUGAAUAUUGAAAUGUGGACAUUUAUGCUAAGAACAGCUUCUGGAAUUAUACAUUUGCCUUGUAUUCUUACCAAUUGUAAGAUGGAUAAACAAGCAGAAAUUCAAAAUGACAGAAUUAUAUUUCUUUGCAUCUGGAUUUUAUUCUGUUCCUGGUCCAAGUUUCAAGAUUGUCAAGAAUGACAAGUUGGACUUGGUCUAGUUACUUCCACAGCAGCAGGAGGAACAUGUGUGUGACUCAGGAUAACUGGGGAAGCCUUGGCUAGGCUUUCCUCAUGUCAACCUACCACUCAAAGGGAGAAAACCUCCUGAUCAGAGGAGCCCAGAACCCAGGUUUGGUGGGGGUGGUUGGGGGGUGAGCCUGGAGAAACUAGAAAUCUAAGGGUGUGUGUGUGUGAACGUGUUUUGUUGUUGUUGUUGUUGUUGUUUUUGACAGGAAAUCCAUAAUUUUUGAAUGCUGGCCGAGGUCUGUGACCUCUGACUGAAUGGUUUCCAAGCUCUGAAUUCCUAGGUAUAACACUUGCUGAAGAAAGGAAAAGCUCUCUGAUUUAGGUGUAAGCAAAACAAUCUAAACAGUAGGAUAAAAUCGUGUUGGAGUGGAGUUCUGUGUGAGCGCUGUCUUUGAACCAAAUCAGUUCCACAACUGACCCUGUCAGGGACAUAUAAAUUUAGCAUUUCGGUGUGGAUACAGAAGACGAGAUUAACACAGAUCAAGUAACAUGGAAAUAAAAAAGGAGACAAUGCUGGAUGAUACGGGGGCAGCCAACAAGAAGAGAAAACCCAAGCAUUGGCAAACCCCUCAUUAUCC